GCCUGUCAGUCAGGAUGGACUGCCUUUGGAUGCAGAUGCUUCAAGUUUUUCAAUUACCAUAAAAGAUGGAUUGAAGCCGAGUAAAUUGACAAGCAGAAUCACCCCAGGACAGUGGAAGCUGAUCAAAAACAUGAAUGUUCCAUCCACAACAGUUGGCCAGCUCUGUUGACUGUGGGAUCAUGUUAAUGUUAAGUUCAUGGAGCCACGGAUCACAGAAGACCUCUGUGCUGCACAACAACCGAAAGUCUUCAGAGGUUUAGUGAAAGAGCUGUGCUUUCUGAUUUUGAAAGAGGACGACCAGGGAAAUGGUCCCUGGUACACACCUCACGCACUGGAUGCUGUGCACAUGCUCAAGGCAGUUGGACAUAGUGGUGUAUUAGAGAUACUCUCGCUGGCUCUGGACUCACUGAGGAUGAAGAGACCACAGCAACAUUUGGGCCAGAUGAGGCAGUAAGGGCAGGAGUGAUGGAGGGUCUCAUCCAUUACACUGAACCAUUUCCAGGAUCUGCUGUGGCUCUCCAUUCUCACUUCUCACACCAGUCUGAGGACAUUUCACAUCCUACAAAAAUGCACAAACAUCAUACAAAAGCAGUCAUUUUAACAGCACAAUGUCAUUUGUUCCCUGUAUUAGAAAUAACAAAAUGAUCUUACUUUCUAUUUUUGGUGGUUAACAGUAACUCGUGAAAAACCAAUCCCCAUGUUGGGCGAACCUUUCGAACACAUUAUAGUUGACUGUGUGGGGCCUUUACCAAAGUCAAAAUCUGGUAACCAGAUUCUUACGAUCAUGUGCACCACUACCAGGUACCCAGAGGCUAUUCCUCUGCGCAAAAUUACAGCCAAAGCAGUUGUUAAAAAUGUAACAAAGUUUUUCUCUACUUUUGGUUUAUCAAAGUUUGAGUUAUGGAGGACGCUUGACCUGGAGGGUUUUUUUGGAGUCUGAUACACCAUUAUUAUCUGCCAGGCUAUCAAACUCUGAAACUCUUGUGAAUUUGUCAAAUUUUAUAGCUCAUCUUAGUACUGAUCAAGGGCAGGAUGUUGUUGAGCUGCUUAACAAAUUUUCUUCCAUCUUAGGCGAUGCUCCCACACUAACAAAUGUGCUACAACAUGACAUUAAAGUAAGUAAUAUACAGCCCAUUAAAAAACACCAAAAGUUGGUCAAUUUAGUGCUUGCUGAUGUUCCCAACUGUAGUGCCUUUCUUGAUGAUUUGAUUGUUUACUCACAGAGUUGGUCUGAACAUGUAUCGUUGCUAGAAACUGUGUUUAAGUGUCUAGAGAAAGCAUCCUUGACCUUAAAAAAAUGUGAGAUUGGCAACUGAAAAGCAACAAAAGCAACUGUGACCUAUUUAGGUAAACAAGUAGGACAAGGACAAGUAUGACCAGUUACAGCAAAAAUUACAGCAAUAAUUGAAUUUCCAGGGCCAAAAACCAGACGCGAGUUGUGUAGGUUUCUGGGUAUGGCUGGUUAUUAUCAGUGUUUUUGCCAGAAUUUUUCUUCAGUGGCUGUUCUGUUAACCGCUCUACUUACCCCUUCGAAAGCUUUUGUAUGGUCAUCUGAUUGUCAGACAGCAUUUGAUAACAUUAAAAUUUUGUUGUGUAGCGAGCCAGUGUUACCUGACCCAGACUUUUCCAUGGCGUUCAAGUUGGAGGUCAGUGUAAGUGAAGUAGGAGCUGGUGCUGUACUUUUACAGGAGGAUAAGGACGGGAUCAUCCUAUUUGCUACUUCUCUAAAAAGUUCAAUAAAAGCCAACAUAACUAUUCAACAAUAGAGAAUGUUGGUACUUCAACAUAUCGAAGUAUAUGUUGGUUCCUCUACUCUUCCUGUAGUUGUCUACAGAGAUCAUAACCCACUGACUUUUCUCCUAUGCAUGAAUAACUAGAACCAGAGGUUGAUGAAAUGGUCCCUCAUCAUCCAAAAUUAUAACCUGGAAAUAAAAUAUAAAAAAGGUGUGGAUAUGUGGUGGCAGAUGCUCUAUCCCGGGUUUAAUGAGGUAUGAGUUAUUUGGUAACAGUUUGGUUCUUAUAUUAGGUAUAGAUGUUUGUUUUUAAGGGUGGGGGUGUUACGUCUGUGGUGUAUUUUGGUUGUUUCUCUUGCUCCUUUAUUUCAUUCUUGAUUGUCAUAAUUCUUAGGUUCACGAUUGGUUAGCUAUCAUGUCAAUCAUCAUUAUUCAACAUGUCUGUAAAUAUUUAUUUCUUGAUUUACUGUUGUCACGGCCAGCUCGUUCUUGACCGCCACAUAAAGAGGAUCACACAAACAAAUGAGUUCUUUAAAUUGCCAUGUUGUUUAUUACAAAAUAAUCUGUUCCAAACAAAAUAGCACAAUGUCUAGGGAAUUAAAUAAACAAAAGAAAAUAAGAAUCCAAUGGGUAAGAAAGGUUGGGAAGAACAAAAUGAAAACAAGUUGGAGCAAAUGACUUCUCUGGAGAAACACGUUCUACCAGAGGAAGUACCGUUGAGUAGAUCAGCCAGAUAUUUAUACUCUCCACCCAUAAAUUAUCCAAUUUGACAUUUACGUCACAUCCAGGCGCCACACUGCCACCACCAGGUGACGAAGGAAAAGACAGUGUCGUAACACUGUUUUCCUGUAAAAACCACUGGGUGUAUUAUCUUUAUGAUAAUGAAAUACUAAAAAGCAUUAAUUACAAUCUGUCUUUGCUUGAUUCAUCUCACCACACAAGUUAUCAUUAACUGAACUUGUUUCUUUUAUUUUAUUAUUUUCUUUAUUUAUCUAAAUGUAUUAAUUAUUAUUUACAUACUUUUACAUACUCUAGACAACAUUAAUAGGGAGAUGUAACAGCAGGGUUAACACCUGAGCAGGGUUUCAUAACCCCGGGUAAAAAGCAGUGCUAACCCCGCUUUUAAAUUACAAGUGUUAAACAUUAUAUUACCUGGGGUUAAAAGUGGUGUUUAGAACGAUGACAACCCGGGGUUAAGCGCAGUGUGAAAAGCCCUUUGUUGUAGUAGCACUAAUAGGGCUAUUGACUCUGUGCCCACCCUUGCUCUGCACAAGACAACUGAUAGUCUAAAGCACAUUAAGAAGGCAAGAAAUGUCACAAAUCAAGUCCUGUCGAGACACACCUGUAACUGAAAACCAUUGCUGAUGACUACCUCGUGAAUCUGAUGAGGAAAUGCCAUGAGUGUGCCAAGCUGUCAUCAAAGCUAAAUGUAGCUAAUUUGCACCAUCUGAAAUAUAAAACAUAUUCUAUGUUGUUUAACACUUUUUUUUUUUUUUUUUAGUUUACUACAUAAUUCCAUAUUUGUUCUUUCAUAAUUUGGAUGUCUUCAGUAUUACAGUUUUUCUUCAUUGCUUAAACACAUUUCUUGAAAUUAUGCCUCCUUUUCUUGAAACUCUAAACACAAAACCAUAACUUCUCACACAAUUCCCCAAACUUCCUAUUUUCAGGUCAAAAUAAAGCUCUCCACUCAAAACCAUUCAAUCUUGCUGAAAAACCUAACUUUGUUGUCAGACAUCACACACAAGCCCUCAA